CUUGAACAAAUCCACCAGCCUCUGCAAAGAGAACAUGAGAAAUAUCAGGAACCUGUGCAGCAAUCUGAAAAAAAUCUGAGUGAGUCCCGUAAUGAAGACCUGGAAAAAGAUAAAACUUCACAAAACUGCCUGGAGAGAAAUGCGGAACAAGCAGCGGAGAGGUGAAGGAUGGCCCAGGAAGAGAUCCGAAGGCUCACUGAUGAGCUACAAGGGAGGGAGAAAGAACAGAGUAAAUUAGAUUCUGCCCUUGAGAAGGCUCAGCUAGAAAUUGAGAAACUGAAAGAAAAUUUGACAAAACUGAAAGAAAAUGAUUCUGUUGACCUACAGAAAGCAAGGGAACAUAAUCAGAGACUGGAUGAGGAAAUUCUGACUUUAAGAAAUCGAGUUCAAUCACUGGACUCAGAAAAAAAAGUGCUUGAAGAAGUGAUUUCCCUCUUAGAGCCCGAGUUAUCAGUAAUAUAGGAAAACACCAGAGGAACCUGUAUGAAAAGUCAAGAGACAGUGCAAGUACAAGAUUUGAAUGAGAUUUUGAAAAUGAGCCAAGAAAAAAUCGAAAUAUUUGAAAGUGAGUCAUCAGAAGAAAGCAGAAGGCAAUUGACAUCUGAUUUUAAUAUUAUACAGAAGACUUUGAGAGUUGAA